AUUGAACGCUGGCGGCAGGCUUAACACAUGCAAGUCGAGCGGGGGAAGGUAGCUUGCUACCGGACCUAGCGGCGGACGGGUGAGUAAUGCUUAGGAAUCUGCCUAUUAGUGGGGGACAACAUCUCGAAAGGGAUGCUAAUACCGCAUACGUCCUACGGGAGAAAGCAGGGGAUCUUCGGACCUUGCGCUAAUAGAUGAGCCUAAGUCGGAUUAGCUAGUUGGUGGGGUAAAGGCCUACCAAGGCGACGAUCUGUAGCGGGUCUGAGAGGAUGAUCCGCCACACUGGGACUGAGACACAGCCCAGACUCCUACGGGAGGCAGCAGUGGGGAAUAUUGGAAAAUGGGGGGAACCCUGAUCCAGCCAUGCCGCGUGUGUGAAGAAGGCCUUAUGGUUGUAAAGCACUUUAAGCGAGGAGGAGGCUCUUUUGGUUAAUACCCAAGAUGAGUGGACGUUACUCGCAGAAUGAGCACCGGCUAACUCUGUGCCAGCCGCCGCAGUAA
rnacentral:rRNA from 1 species